AUUAAGUCAAUUGUGAAAGCUCAAGGCUUAACCUUGAAAUUGCUUUUGAUACUGAUGAACUAGAGUUUGGGAGAGGAUAGUGGAAUUCUAAGUGUAGAAGUGAAAUUCGUAGAUAUUUAGAGGAACACCGAUAGCGAAGGCAACUAUCUGGCCCUUUACUGACACUCAGAAGCGAAAGCUUGGGUAGCAAACAGGAUUAGAUACCCUGGUAGUCCAUGCUGUAAACGAUGAGUGCUAGAUGUUAGAAGUUUACUUCUAGUAUCGAAGCUAACGCGUUAAGCACUCCGCCUGGGGAGUACGGCCGCAAGGCUAAAACUCAAAUGAAUUGACGGGGACCCGCACAAGUAGUGGAGCAUGUGGUUUAAUUCGACGCUACGCGAAAAACCUUACCAGCUCUUGACAUGCUAAGUUUUGAGUUUAAGAGAUUAAAUUCUUCAGUUCGGCUGGGCUUAGUACAGGUGCUGCAUGGCUGUCGUCAGCUCGUGUCGUGAGAUGUUCGGUUAAGUCCGGCAACGAGCGCAACCCUCAUCUUCAGUUACUAACAGGUUAAGCUGAGGACUCUGGAGAAACUGCCGUUGGAAAAGCGGAGGAAGGCGAGGAUGACGUCAAGUCCUCAUGGCCCUUAUGGGCUGGGCUACACACGUGCUACAAUGGUAAUUACAAUAAGUCGCGAAAUGGCAACAUUGAGCUAAUCUUUAAAAAUUAUCUUAGUUCAGAUUGUUCUCUGCAACUCGAGAGCAUGAAGUUGGAAUUGCUAGUAAUCG
rnacentral:rRNA from 1 species